rnacentral:ncRNA from 1 species
GUACGAUAAAGGCAAAACCACUGAAAAGUGGUGACGCAAAGCUACAGGGACUAACAUGGCAUUCUAUGAAUGUCCAAAAUGUCAGCCAGCUACCGCC